AGGAGGGGGGGUCUGGUACGGGGAGGCCUCUAGACCUGCUAUCGGACCAGACUGGGGUCAGGGGCGAGCCGCACCUGGCCAUUCAGGGAAACUGCCACCCUCAGCUCCAUCUGCCCCAGGAUCCCCAAAUCAGACUCUGCCAUCAGCAAGGGGAGACUGUAACAGACUGCGACCCUCACAUGCUGAUAGGCAGUCAAGAAUAUUUUCUAGGGGGCUGGAGAGAUGGCUCAGUGAUUAAGAGCACUGACCGCUCUUCCGGAGGUCCUGUGUUCAAAUCCCAGCAACCACAUGGUGACUCACAGCCAUCUGUAAUGAGAUCUGAUGCCCUCUUUGGGUGUGUCUGAAGACAGCUACAGUGUACUUACAUAUAAUAAAUAAAUAAAUCUU
rnacentral:lncRNA from 1 species